rnacentral:rRNA from 1 species
CCUACGGGCGGCAGCAGUGGGGAAUAUUGCGCAAUGGGCGAAAGCCUGACGCAGCGACGCCGCGUGAGGGAUGAAGGUCUUCGGAUCGUAAACUUCUGUUAGCAGGGAAGAACGGUCACUGUGCUAAUCAGCAGUGAAUUGACGGUACCUGCAAAGGAAGCACCGGCUAACUCCGUGCCAGCAGCCGCGGUAAUACGGAGGGUGCGAGCGUUGAUCGGAUUUACUGGGCGUAAAGCGCUCGUAGGCGGUAUGUCAAGUCAAGGGUGAAAUCCCCGGGCUCAACGUUGGACCUGCUUUUGAAACUGGCAAACUUGAGUGUGUGAGAGGCUAGUGGAAUUCCAGGUGUAGGAGUGAAAUCCGUAGAUAUCUGGAGGAACAUCAGUGGCGAAGGCGACUAUCUGGCACAUAACUGACGCUGAGGAGCGAAAGCGUGGGUAGCAAACAGGAUUAGAUACCCUAGUAGUC